rnacentral:rRNA from 1 species
CCUACGGGAGGCAGCAGUGAGGAAUAUUGGUCAAUGCGCGCGAGCCUGAACCAGCCAAGUAGCGUGAAGGAUGACUGCCCUACGGGUUGUAAACUUCUUUUAUAAAGGAAUAAAGUGAGGCACGUGUGCCUUUUUGUAUGUACUUUAUGAAUAAGGAUCGGCUAACUCCGUGACAGCAGACGCGGUAAUACGGAGGAUCCGAGCGUUAUCCGGAUUUAUUGGGGUUAAAGGGAGCGUAGAUGGGUUGGUAAGUCAGUUGUGAAAGUUUGCGGCUCAACCGUAAAAUUGCAAUUGAUACUGGCAGCCUUGAGUACAGUUGAGGUAGGCGGAAUGCGUGGUGUAGCGGUGAAAUGCUUAGAUAUCACGAAGAACUCCGAUUGCGAAGGCAGCCUACUAAGCUGCCACUGACAUUGAUGCUCGAAAGUGUGGGUAUCAAACAGGAUUAGAUACCCGGGUAGUC